GGAAUAUUCUGGGAGUUGUAGUCUUUCAAACAGAGCUUCGCAAGGACACACCUGUAUUGGAACACUACAGCUCCCUGAACUUCC
rfam:Phoenicopterus ruber ruber contig64315, whole genome shotgun sequence.